rnacentral:rRNA from 1 species
AGUGAACGCUGGCGGUAGGCCUAACACAUGCAAGUCGAACGGCAGCACAGUAAGAGCUUGCUCUUACGGGUGGCGAGUGGCGGACGGGUGAGGAAUACAUCGGAAUCUACUUUUUCGUGGGGGAUAACGUAGGGAAACUUACGCUAAUACCGCAUACGACCUACGGGUGAAAGCAGGGGAUCUUCGGACCUUGCGCGAUUGAAUGAGCCGAUGUCGGAUUAGCUAGUUGGCGGGGUAAAGGCCCACCAAGGCGACGAUCCGUAGCUGGUCUGAGAGGAUGAGCAGCCACACUGGAACUGAGACACGGUCCAGACUCCUACGGGAGGCAGCAGUGGGGAAUAUUGGGCCAUGGGCGCAAGCCUGAUCAAGCCAUACCGCGUGGGUGAAGAAGGCCUUCGGGUUGUAAAGCCCUGUUGUUGGGAAAGAAAAGCAGCAGGUUAAUACCACGCUGUUCUGACGGUACCCAAAGAAUAAGCACCGGCUAACUUCGUG